UCCCUGGUGGCCCAGCGGUUAGGACUCAGAGCUUUCACUGCUGGGGCCCAGGUUCAAUCCCUGGUUAGGGAA
rnacentral:tRNA from 1 species